rnacentral:rRNA from 1 species
UGGCUCAGAACGAACGCUGGCGGCAGUGGGCCCACUCCUACGGGAGGCAGCAGUGGGAAGCCGAAUUCCAGCACACUGGCGGCCGUUACUAGUGGAUCCGAGCUCGGUACCAAGCUUGGCGUAAUCAUGGUCAUAGCUGUUUCCUGUGUGAAAUUGUUAUCCGCUCACAAUUCCACACAACAUACGAGCCGGAAGCAUAAAGUGUAAAGCCUGGGGUGCCUAAUGAGUGAGCUAACUCACAUUAAUUGCGUUGCGCUCACUGCCCGCUUUCCAGUCGGGAAACCUGUCGUGCCAGCUGCAUUAAUGAAUCGGCCAACGCGCGGGGAAGAG